ACUGACUCUUCCACAGUCCCUCGUUAUAUUUUAGUACGGGAGAAUAUGCCCGUUCGCGGGUUAGGCGUUGACAACACACGUCGGAAAUGCGAGGGACUGUGGAAUCGUGUGUCGAAAAGUUGGCAGAAUAGUCGAAAACUCGGCAAUCGGGCAAAAUUGACAGUUUUCUCAAAUAUGAAUGAAUUUUUGGACGAAAGCGGGACGAUGCAGGCUUUAGAAAACUCUUGGAAGGAUUCGUGUGACGAAUUAGAUGUCUAAAUGGAAAAUUUAUCUCUUUCUGACGUAAAUUACGGUGAGUGCUGAUAGCUUGUUUAUAUGAAAGCCUCGAUGAACGCCAUAUGUUGGCGUAUGUAACAUGGAUUAUAUAAGGAUGUGUAUCUUAAAAAUAUGAACAAUUAGCGACUAGGUAUAUGAUAAUUGUAGUUGAUCAAGAAGUACUUUUGCACACACUUUUUUAGAUAUAGAUGAC